rnacentral:rRNA from 1 species
GACGAACGCUGGCGGCGUGCUUAACACAUGCAAGUCGAACGGAAAGGCCCUGCUUGCAUGGUACUCUAGUGGCGAACGGGUGAGUAACACGUGGGUGAUCUGCCCUGCACUUCGGGAUAAUCCUUGGAAACUGGGUCUAAUACCGGAUAGGAGCCAUUUUUAGUGUGAUGGUUGGAAAGUUUUUUCGGUGUAGGAUGAGCUCGCGGCCUAUCAGCUUGUUGGUGGGGUAAUGGCCUACCAAGGCGGCGACGGGUAGCCGGCCUGAGAGGGUGGACGGCCACAGUGGGAAUGAGAAACGGCCCAGACAGCGACGGGAGGCAGAAGAGGGGAAGAUUGCACAAGGGGCGAAAGCCUGAUGCAGCGACGCCGCGUGGGGGAUGACGGCCUUCGGGUUGUAAAAGCAGUUCGCUAGGGACGAAGCGUUUUGUGACGGUACCUAGAUAAGAAGCACCGGCUAACUACGUG